rnacentral:rRNA from 1 species
CCUACGGGCGGCAGCAGUGAGGAAUAUUGGUCAAUGGACGCAAGUCUGAACCAGCCAUGCCGCGUGCAGGAAGACGGCUCUAUGAGUUGUAAACUGCUUUUGUACGAGGGUAAACGCAGAUACGCGUAUCUGUCUGAAAGUAUCGUACGAAUAAGGAUCGGCGAACCCCGGGCCAGCAGCCGCGGUAAUACGGAGGAUUCAAGCGUUAUCCGGAGUUAUUGGGUUUAAAGGGUGCGUAGGCGGUCGGAUAAGUUAGAGGUGAAAGCCCGAGGCUCAACUUCGGAAUUGCCUCUGAUACUGUUCGGAUGGAGAGUAGGUGCGGUAGGCGGAAUGUAUGGUGUAGCGGUGAAAUGCUUAGAGAUCAUACAGAACACCGAUUGCGAAGGCAGCUUACCGAGCUCCUUCUGACGUUGAGGCACGAAAGCGUGGGGAGCAAACAGGAUUAGAUACCCCUGUAGUC